AGGUGGUCCUCGAAAAGUAGAUAUUAACGGGAGCCAAGACCAAACCAUGUUUGAUGCCUGGAGACAAGGUCAAACCGGGUAUCCUUUAAUUGAUGCCAACAUGAAAGAACUAGCUUCUACUGGAUUCAUGUCGAAUCGAUGACGACAGAUUGUGUGCUCUUUUCUUGUUCGAGAUAUGGGCAUUGACUGGCGGAUGGGAGCUGAAUGGUUUGAGACAUGCCUCUUGGAUUAUGAUCCUUGCUCCAACUAUGGAAACUGGACAAGAGCAGGUGUUGGCAAUGACCCUAGAGAAGACCGUUGCUUCAGCAUCCCGAAACAAGCAAGUGCAAUAAGGAAAUAAGUAUUAUUUUUGAUAGAAUCAUGUUCUGGGA